rfam:Flavobacterium sp. KMS contig019, whole genome shotgun sequence.
UACUUAUCCAGAAAGACUGAGGGAUUAGGCCCUGUGACGUCUUAGCAACCUGUUGCUUAAUAAGGUGCUAAAUCCUACCGUUGUAAUGGACAGAUAAGAA